rnacentral:rRNA from 1 species
CAGGAUUAGAUACCCUGGUAGUCCACGCCGUAAACGAUGUCGACUUGGAGGUUGUGCCCUUGAGGCGUGGCUUCCGGAGCUAACGCGUUAAGUCGACCGCCUGGGGAGUACGGCCGCAAAGUUAAAACUCAAAUGAAUUGACGGGGGCCCGCACAAGCGGUGGAGCAUGUGGUUUAAUUCGAUGCAACGCGAAGAACCUUACCUACUCUUGACAUCCAGAGAACUUAGCAGAGAUGCUUUGGUGCCUUCGGGAACUCUGAGACAGGUGCUGCAUGGCUGUCGUCAGCUCGUGUUGUGAAAUGUUGGGUUAAGUCCCGCAACGAGCGCAACCCUUAUCCUUUGUUGCCAGCGGUUAGGCCGGGAACUCAAAGGAGACUGCCAGUGAUAAACUGGAGGAAGGUGGGGAUGACGUCAAGUCAUCAUGGCCCUUACGAGUAGGGCUACACACGUGCUACAAUGGCAUAUACAAAGAGAAGCGACCUCGCGAGAGCAAGCGGACCUCAUAAAGUAUGUCGUAGUCCGGAUUGGAGUCUGCAACUCGACUCCAUGAAGUCGGAAUCGCUAGUAAUCGUGGAUCAGAAUGCCACGGUGAAUACGU